UACAGAGGUCUCAAGCGUUGUUCGGAUUCAUUGGGCGUAAAGGGUGCGUAGGCGGCGCGGUAAGUCGGGUGUGAAAUCUCGGAGCUUAACUCCGAAACUGCAUUCGAUACUGCGGUGCUUGAGGACUGGAGAGGAGACUGGAAUUCAUGGUGUAGCAGUGAAAUGCGUAGAGAUCAUGAGGAAGACCAGUGGCGAAGGCGGGUCUCUGGACAGUUCCUGACGCUGAGGCGCGAAGGCCAGGGGAGCAAACGGG
rnacentral:rRNA from 1 species